GCACCAGUGGUGUCCGGACACGCCGCCUUCGAAUGUAGUUGCGACCCUCAGAUUGAGGCAGAGUUGGGGUUCGACUCCCCGCUGGUGCA